UAGGGAAUCUUCCGCAAUGGGCGAAAGCUUGACGGAGCAACGCCGCGUGAGUGAUGAAGGUCUUCGGAUCGUAAAACUCUGUUAUUAGGGAAGAACAAAUGUGUAAGUAACUAUGCACGUCUUGACGGUACCUAAUCAGAAAGCCACGGCUAACUACGUGCCAGCAGCCGCGGUAAUACGUAGGUUGCAAGCGUUAUCCGGAAUUAUUGGGCGUAAAGCGCGCGUAGGCGGUUUUUUAAGGCUGAUGUGAAAGCCCACGGCUCAACCGUGGAGAGUCAUUGGAAACCGGAACACUUGAGUGCAGAAGAGGAAAGUGGAAUUCCAUGUGUAGCGCUGAAAGGCGCAGAGAUAUGGAGGAACACCAGUGGCGAAGGCGACUUUCUGGUCUGUAACUGACGCUGAUGUGCGACAGCGUGGGGAUCAAACAGG
rnacentral:rRNA from 1 species